GAGGGCAAAAUAGCACUUUAUGGACUUACACAGAGGACAUCAUGUUUAAUACGGUUCCGGAAAAAUCCAGUCAGAAGUUGUUCACGGAGUUUUCACAAUAACUGCUUCUCAUGAACCAAAGCUGGAUUUGCGCGAGGUCUCCUCUUGAAAGUUGGAUUACUGUGCACUUCUGGAUCACAGGCUAUUCGCAGCUGUACACAUCCUUCUACACUGUAUGCAAACAUGCAACAUCAUAACACACAGUACAAGGAGUCAGACUGGCAUAUGAGGAGCAAAGGAACCCAGGCAGUAGCAUCGUUUCACAAUGUUUCCAUCACCAUCAUCAGUGGAUGCCUUUGCCGUCCGUAGCCUGAGAUUUCAGAUUUGCAGCAAAAUUUUUUUGAUUUUCUCAUUUAUUGGAAUGCUGUGCAGGUAUUUGUACCUUGCAGCCAUCCAUUACAAUGUCACCAAGCCGUAACAAAAGCAGGAGGGAAAGUACAAGGCUAUGUUCCCAAAACACACAAGUGACAUACCUUAUGUGGAUGAUGUGAUCAGGCUUGUGUUUGAUGAGGUAUUUGAAGAUAAGCUGAAGGAAACCCCGAUUCCAAUGGACCUGGCAUCACAGUUUGAGAGACCUUCAAAGGAGGACGUGAUUGCAUGCCAUCUUCAGUGCAG